rnacentral:rRNA from 1 species
UACGGGGGGGGCAAGCGUUGUUCGGAAUUACUGGGCGUAAAGGGCGCGUAGGCGGCCAUCUAAGUCAGACGUGAAAUCCCUCGGCUCAACCGAGGAACUGCGUCUGAUACUGGAAGGCUUGAAUCCGGGAGAGGGAUGUGGAAUUCCAGGUGUAGCGGUGAAAUGCGUAGAUAUCUGGAGGAAUACCGGUGGCGAAGGCGGCAUCCUGGACCAACACUGACGCUGAGGCGCGAAAGCUAGGGGAGCAAACGGG